rnacentral:rRNA from 1 species
UACGUAGGGGGCAAGCGGUUGUCCGGAUUUAUUGGGCGUAAAGAGCGUGUAGGCGGUUAUACAGGUCCGCUGUGAAAACUGGAGGCUUAACCUCCAGACGUCGGUGGAAACCGUAUGACUAGAGUCCGGAAGAGGAGAGUGGAAUUCCGUGGUGUAAGCGGUGAAAUGCGCAGAUAUCAGGAAGAACACCCGUGGCUAAGGCGGCUCUCUAGUACGGUACUGACGCUGAGACGCGAAAGCGUGGGGAGCGAACAGG